CAGUCACACACUCAGUCAUACACACACAGGCAGUCACACAAACAGGCAGACAGUCACACACACACACACACACACACACACAUACCUCUUUCCAGUGGAUGCAGUUGGUUGUUGGGGUAGCAGGGACUCCUUCCCUCUUCAUGUGCAGCAAUUACCAGGGGCUUCGGGAAGGUAUUAGCCCCGCCCCCAACGAUCGUUAAGCCCUGCUGCCUCGAUUUUUUUGUUUUCAAUAGACC